rnacentral:rRNA from 1 species
AAGCGCUUGCAGCCAGACUUGGUCGUAGUCAAUCAACCUUCUCUUGGGGAGGUGCACUUUUCUGCGUUCCAGGCCAGCAUCGGUUUCCGCGGUCGGACAAAAGCCCCGGGAAUGUGGCUCCCCUCGGGGAGUGUUAUAGCCCGGGGUUCAAUGCGGCCUGCGGGGACCGAGGACCGCGCUUUAUGCUAGGAUGUUGGCGUAAUGGCUGUCAGCGG